UACGUAGGGGGCUAGCGUUGUCCGGAUUUAUUGGGCGUAAAGAGCGUGUAGGCGGCUUGGCAAGUCUGCUGUGAAAACUCGAGGCUCAACCUCGAGCUGUCGGUGGAAACUGCUUGGCUAGAGUCCGGAAGAGGAGAGUGGAAUUCCUGGUGUAGCGGUGAAAUGCGCAGAUAUCAGGAGGAACACCAAUAGCGAAGGCAGCUCGCUGGGACGGUACUGACGCUAAGGCGCGAAAGCGUGGGGAGCGAACAGG
rnacentral:rRNA from 1 species